UGAGGAGCAGUGUAGGUCUGCAUCUGGGAUCCGAACUGUGAACCUGGGCCACCGAAGUAGAGUGCACCGAACUUAACCACUACGCCACGGGCUAGCCCCUGCCUUCUUCUUGAUCAGAUCCCUUGUUCUGGGAGAAGCUGACUGCCAUGCUGUGAGGAUGUUCAAGCAGCCUUUGAGAGAGAUCCACAUGUUUCCUGAUGGUCAUUGCUGAAGAGCAUAUUGCGAUCAUAGUAAGAACCACAAGGGCCGGACCAACCACAACAUCGGUUAUUGCAGGAUGGCCUGAGUUUCUCACAUGGCGAUGGCAGUGUUUCAAGACGACGAGACCCAAGACCCAAGAUGUAUCAGCUUCUGCUUGUGUCACAUGGGCUGACAUCCCAAUAGCCAAAGCUACGCAAGAGCAGGGACGUCAUUCAGCAUGAAGCAUUGGGGGCCACUGAGGCACAGCCUCUCACAGUCAGCUUGACGUAGAACUUUAAAUAUUUGGACGUAUAGCCCUGCAAAUAUGGGGAUGGGCCUCUCUGCCUCAGGGACUCAGUGCAAAUCAGGAUCCCAUCAUGGAGGUCAGACCCAGCACAGACUCACUUCAUGCAUUCUGCAAACAUUGCUAAAGCACCUACUGUGCACCAGGCUGUAUGCCGCACACUGGGGACACAGCCCCAAGCAGGCAGACGUGGUCCUGUGCUCAAGAACUCGCAGGCCACUGGGGAGACCACGGCACUGGGAUGAAUUAUCUACAUGGAGUUGAGCUGCAGUUAAGAUCAUGUCAGGGGACAUUUUGUAGACAUUUAAUUAAACAUUUAUUAACUUU